AUCCGUGACGUAAGGUUUUGUGUAGGCAGCAUCGACAGCGACAACUGUCAUCUUGUGAUUAGCUAUCUUGAAGAAGAGCUGGUUAUUGAGUGCAGCGUUGAUUAUACGUAGCAUGUAUGUCUUUCCUUUCUCCACCUUAAGUUUGUAUGUCUGCUUUUGAGAACAUGGGUAAAGAUCACCAGGCCUUCCAUUAAUGGUGUAAGCAUCGGAA
rnacentral:misc_RNA from 1 species